rnacentral:lncRNA from 1 species
GCAGUGCUUGUCCUCGGCAGCACCCGUUUAUGAGCCAGCAUAACUGUCACUGUGCUCAAAGUGGCAGGUAGGCUGGCACUGGAGAUUGUGGCUCCCAUUCCUUCCACCUUAACUCUUUGAGAACAGAAAAAUAAGCUUAUACUGAAACAAUUCUCCCUCGUCUGUAUGAGAAGAUUCUGUAUGCUGCCGCUGAGCAGAUGCCUUCAAUGCCUCCGUGGUUUCACUGCUGCUAAGACCUGGAGACUCGCUGGCUCACAAAAUCCAUGGCACAUUUAACCCCUUUGCCCCUUUCCCCCCGACACCUGGCUCCCUCUAGACCCCAACUUGUGAUGCUUCUGUCUGCUUAGAGACGGGACAUCUCAGACUCACUUCUGUGCAGACUGUGAGAUGUAAGCGUUUCACCUCCCAGCCGGUGCCGGUUCCUCUGGCCCCAGACCACACAGUUCAGCUUAAGAGCGCAGCACCACGCACACAUGUGUUUUCCGAUUGUACAGUAGCUGUCACCAGGACACAAAAACUUGUGAAAAGGCCGGGGCCCCCUUCAUGAGGUACCUUUUCCUCUUAGAAAAACAGGUUGACUUCUCCCCCAACACACACACACACACACACACGCACGCACGCACACUUACUUUAUAGAGACGGCAUACAAAAGAAAAAGGAUGGAAGAUCUCAAAUGAACACGUGGCAAACAGGCAAACACAUUUGAUCAUCUCCCCUUUCCUCCUUCGCCCUCCCCCCGCAAAAUACAGUAUUUAUAUUUUCCAGCCUCAGAGAAGAUAGCAGAACAUGAUCUUUCACGAGAGAAUUAUAGACCUGCUUAUUAUAAACCAGAUGUGCGCCCAUGGCAAAGUGCCUUUUCCCUCCACCCCCAGCUCCCUGUCACGGUAGCUCACCCCUGCCUGCUCGAGCACUGCUGCAUCUGUGAGUCGGACCUCAGCGAGGCUGUCCCCAGAACACGGCACCCGGAGACCCAAAGCGCAGGGCCGCCGCCUCCCCUUUGAGCAUGUUCGCCCCAUGGACAGAAUUUCCUGUCGCAUCUCACAGGCACCCAGGGUCAGAUCUGCCGAGAAUCAGGGUGACAUUCUGGGUCUGUUCUCAAGGCCUUUGCUUUCACCAGGCCCGUUUAGAGGCCCUGCCAAAUCCUGGCAGCCCCUGUGAACGUGUAAGAACUUUCCACCCACGUCAUUUUCGGCUUAUUUUCAAAAGGGGAAAAAAAUAAGUGUGCUCUCACCAUCAGCUCCCUAGAACUGGAACCAUAGCCCGGCCGCUUCUGUUUUCUCCACUCUUUGUAAAACCCCGGCAGCCUGGUCGGUGCCAGCCACAGGCCUACCUGACAUGGAGCCACGGCCACCAAAAUCCAACAGGACAGAGCAGAGCCGGCUCAGGAGUUGGGUCUGCCGUGAAAAUUCAAAAUUGCUAUUUUCAGCCCAGAAUGCCUUAGCCCACAUGAACGCCCUUACUGUUUUCAGCCCCAGUGAAUGACUUCGUGCACAGUAGGUAAUUGUUCCACUGUUUAGAAACUGUCGAAACAAAAGCAAAGCUGUAGAUUCCCACCUCCUUAAGAUCAAGCUAAUACCUGCUUGCCUUCGUGGUCCGUUUUUCAUCCCAUGUUAAGUAUCUUGCACAUAAAGCACAUAAGAAAAUGGCCACAUCAUCUCCUAGAGCUGGCAGCCGACUCGGGAAACUCAUUUCUCUUGAAAGGCCCACUCCUUGGUGUAGCACUUGAGGAAAUCCCACCUCGCAGUGCCAGAAACUCAUGUGUGAGACCGUCCAGCCCUGGUGAACUGUUGGCAUCUCAGCCUGGAGGAAAGAAGCCAGUUCCUAAAAUAGACCUCAGUGUGCACCACGGCGGGAAGGCCACAAAGUACUUAAAAAGCAGGCCACUGGGAUGGGAGUCGUGUUCUUUCCAGGGUGGCUCUUUCUCCAAGGUGAAAUCUCUUUGUAUGAAAAGCAUGUAAACGCUCAUCUUCCCCCUUUGCUCCACUGCCUUUGCCUUUUCAGGGGACUGUGUUAUCGAUGUCUUUAUGUCUGGAGUGCUCAACUGUCGUCUUUGUAGGAGCUUGAAUAUUUGGGGGUUUUGUUACUGUUUUUUUUUAGGGUGGCACCUGCAGCAUAUGUAGGUUCUCCAGGCUGGGGGUCCAAUCGGAGCUGUAGCUGCCAGCCUACAGCACAGCCACAGCAACACGGGACCCGAGCUGCAUCUGAGACCUGCACCUCAGCUCCCUACAAGGCCGGAUCCUUAACCCACUGAGCAAGGCCAGGGAUCGAACCUGCAUCCUCAUGGAUACAAGCUGGGUUCAUUAGCACUGAGCCACAACUGGAACUCCUGGGAGCUUGAACAUUUGAUUAGCUGAGAAGGUCAUCGCUUUUUGAUUCUUCUAGACUAGACCCCCCACUGAAAAAGCUAUGGCUGGGACUUGGGAUUUGUGCUUUCCAGCCAACUUCCCCCAAGGGACUGUGCCGUGAUUUCCUGCAGGCCACAGUGAGGGCUGAGCUCUUUCCAUGGCUCUAGAUGCUGUAGGCAGCCCUCUCUAAGCUGCAGUGGAAUCCCCCUGCAAGGGGUCUAGCCUGUUUUUGUCUCAGCAUUUGUACACACUACACAUUGACACUGAAUCAUUUCUUCCCAGGCCUUCUCAGAAAGGCUUGGCUUCCAAACCUGUGGCUUUGUUCUCUACCCAUUGGCCAGAAAAGGCCAUACGUAAAUUAUUCUAUCAGGGUAGGAAUCGCGUGAUGUUGCACUGGACACUUUCUGGAAAGAGAUCUGAUGAAGCCGAGAUACACUCUGCUCCUGAUUUAGGGUUAAGCCAAUGCUGCUGUUCCUGUGUUUGGGCAGAAUUCUUCACCUCCACUGAUCGGCCGCACUUUAUUGAAAUAACUGCGUUGUGAAGUAAAUCUUCACCUCCUGAUUUAAUACUGCUUGGAGUCAACACAAAGGUGAUUUUAUUUUUUUACUUCUCCCAGGAAAGAGAGCUGCAUGCAAUUUCCCCCCCUUCUUUCAUUGUGUUUUGUUUUGUUUUGGCCCCUGGGCCAGGGAUGGAACCUGAGCCACAGCAAUAACCUGAGCCACAGCAUGGACGACGCCAAGUCCUUAACCACUAGGCCACCAGGGAACUCCUCCCCUGAUGUCUUGAGUUUUCUGUCCCACUACUUUUUUUCCCUCCAAGAUAAUGCAAAAGAGAAUUGGAGGCAAAACUGAAGGAAGUGAACACACUCUCCUUGGCAUGAAUUGAGUCAUUGGAAGCGCCGUUUUCCUUUCCUUGGUCCUUGCUAAGAACCAGGCAUUAACAGCACAGCUCCGGGUGUUGUGUACCCCGUACCGUCAGUCCAGUAGAACCAACUGCCCUACCUAAGUACCUGGACCCAGUGAUGGGUGAGCAAGCCCUGCUCGGUUUCUUUGAACAGACAAAUAUGAUUUCUGUCAUGUGGGACAGUGUUUUGACAGUGAAGUCCAGUACCUCAAGUCAUUGUCACCGACUUUAGAUAAAGUCCAAAAAAGUACGGAACACCCUCCUAGGCAUACCCACGGUUGUCAGGGGUUUUAUUUUAAACGGGUUCCAAGCAACCAUGUGACAGGGCACUUGCCUCCUACAGAGGCCUCCAAAGUGAUGGAAGGUGCCAUUACCCUCAAGGGAAGAGACAGUUGCUCUUUUGCUUUGUUUGGUUCCUCCCUGUGGAAAGAGAAGCCAUCUUGCUAGAAAGAUCUGGAGUCCGUUGUUACCCAGGUAGAAGACCUGGCUGCCUCAGCAGCUCUUAGCACAGGGAAGAGCCCCUCUUAGGCCCUAGAGCUGCAGACCAGCCUUUCUCCCCAUCCCCGAUUUUCCUUGCCCCAGGCCUGAGCCCUGGACCAGAUUCAAGCCUCAUGGCUGGUACACUGGCUGGUGGACCACUGGGGCCUGCGGCUCCUUCUCAUGUUGGCUGUCGCGUUCGUUUCUUUUCCCCGUAGGAGUGCCUUACAGUACUGCCUAGUGCUUCUAGUCUAGACUAUCUGACCCACUUGAAGCUUGCAGGACCCUUCGCCUGAACAUGGGUCACUUCGCUUCUUCUGUACUUGCUGCUCUUCAUACAGGCAUGCUUGGAGCCCGCAUAUUCCGCACGCAUGUCGACCUUCCACCUUCACGCAACCUGGUGCCUUAACCUCAUGAGUACAAGGAUGCCUGCUGGAAACACGUGGUCAAAGUAGACUACGGUGGGAACGCCGGCUUCCUGGUGCCAUUGACGCUUUUACCAGGAAAUACAAAAGAUACACCCGCAUCACGUUUCAACUCGGUCGUAUGCUGUUUUCCAGAUCACUUUUUUUGUUUGCUUGCUUGCUUUUCAUUAACCAAACUCAGGGGAAUGUCAUGAUGUCACCAAGGCCAAUGGGUAGAGAAAUUUGAACCGGUUAUUUAGAUUUGAAUCUGUAACGUCAGUGACCUUAGCCUGUUGCAGGUUAAAAAGUUACACAAACACAAGGAUUUUCUUUUCCUUUACCAUAUAAAGGGUUUUGGUAUUUUAUUUUAUUUGGCCACCUGAUUUCCAAAUGGGAAGUGGGAAGCCAGUUGGAUGAAUUAUAAUAGAAACAUUUCUGUGUGGCAUGGGCCGUCCACCAAGCUAUUACGUUAGGCUUUCACCACCGGAGACCCCGGUUCUGAUUUUAGUCGCCUAUCAGGAUUUUAUUGUGAAGAGUUAGUAGCCUCCCUUAGAAGAUUUAAGGGGGAAAAAAAAAAUCUGUCUUCUUUAAGGAACAGUAAAAGGAGGGAAAAUGCGUAGGUUGCAAAUGCAAAGUAUUGAAUGUGGGGUGUGGAAGGCUUCUGCACGACAUGUUCUUCUGCUCCUGGGUCAGAUCAGUGUCAUUUUCCCUUAUUUCUGCUCAUGCUGGACAGAACGAUCCAAAAUGUGGGGUUUGGCUAUUACUACGUAACUCUGUGUUGAGCUAUUUGUAAUAGCUCCUGUGGUAACUUAUGUAUGUGCUGUUUCUGUCUUCUGGAUUUUAUUGCCUUUUGUUCUGGCAUAACAUCCAUAUUUUUGUUUACAUCAUUUUUAAAAUAUCAGUAACUAUAAUAAUAUAAAGUGAAGUUGUGUUGUGGACAAGACCCCUCGUUUUUAUGGUCAUCUGUCAUAUAAUUUAAGUGCACCCGUUCCCCGUGUAUAAAGUUAUCUUUCUCUCAAUAAACAGUGCAG